GAUGAACGCUGGCGGCGUGCCUAACACAUGUAAGUCGAACGGUGAACUUUGCUUUAUAGCGAGGGGAUCAGUGGCGAACGGGUGAGUAACACGUAGGUGACCUGCCCCAAAGAGGAGAACAACCAUGCGAAAGCGUGGCUAAUACUCUAUGUGGUCGGCCAUUCGUUUGGUCGAUUAAAGCUUCGGCGCUUUGGGAGGGGCUUGCGGCCCAUCAGCUAGUUGGUAGGGUAAUGGCCUACCAAGGCUAUGACGGGUAGGGGGCCUGAGAGGGUGACCCCCCACAUUGGCACUGACACACGGGCCAAACUCCUACGGGAGGCUG
rnacentral:rRNA from 1 species